rnacentral:lncRNA from 1 species
CGAUUGGGCCCCCCCUCUCUUCAGUGAGGUCAUCGUGAGCAUCCAGCCCAUCAACUGGACAGGGGUGGAAUUGGUCGCUUCUUUGCAAGGCUAUGUUGUAGCAGUGCCUGGCCAGGGCUUGGUCUCCUCGGACCUCUCCGAUCCCCUGGUUGGUGGGAAAUUUUAACUUCAAAUGGUAGGUUGACACGAUGGCUCGGAGAGCAUUGAGGCUAG